AAUUACCUUGUAGAUACACUAUGAUACGAUGUAACAACAAACUAGCUAAACAGCCCUACCAAGCCCAGGCAGCCGGCUGGACCUCCGUGUCUGCAUGUGAAGCUCCAGAUUCUGAUCUGAGCCUCUAGGCUCCGGGAUGGAGAAAGGGGACCCCAUCCUCCCAGGCAGAGGCGAGAGGAGACCAGGGAAAGGAAGAGAUGUCUGUUUGAACAAAUUGACCAGUAGAGAUGAAUACAAGGAAAAGGUCCAGACCUCCUCCCCGAAGCUAUGCCCUGCAG
rnacentral:lncRNA from 1 species